rnacentral:rRNA from 1 species
CCUACGGGAGGCUGCAGUGGGGAAUAUUGGACAAUGUGGGGAACCCUGAUCCAGCCAUGCCGCGUGUGUGAAGAAGGCCCUCGGGGUGUAAAGCACUUUCAGUGAGGAAGAACGCCUGGUGGUUAAUACCCAUCAGGAAAGACAUCACUCACAGAAGAAGCACCGGCUAACUCCGUGCCAGCAGCCGCGGUAAUACGGAGGGUGCGAGCGUUAAUCGGAAUUACUGGGCGUAAAGCGCGCGUAGGUGGCUUGAUAAGCCGGUUGUGAAAGCCCCGGGCUCAACCUGGGAACGGCAUCCGGAACUGUCAAGCUAGAGUGCAGGAGAGGAAGGUAGAAUUCCCGGUGUAGCGGUGAAAUGCGUAGAGAUCGGGAGGAAUACCAGUGGCGAAGGCGGCCUUCUGGACUGACACUGACACUGAGGUGCGAAAGCGUGGGUAGCAAACAGGAUUAGAUACCCGAGUAGUC